rnacentral:rRNA from 1 species
UGGAAAAUAUAGACCUCCUGAUCAAGGUCUGAUCUCGACUGACCUCAGAAGCUAGGCCGGACUGGGUCUGGUUAGGGCUUGGAUGGGAGACUGCUGGGAAUACCAGAUGCCAC